AGAUCCUGAAAACACAAAAGGAAGUAUUCAGUUUUCACAGCAAACACCCAAGAGGGAACCCUAAAGGUUGUCUGGGAAAGUGAACAUGAGCUCCUGCCUCACACCAGAUGGAAUCAAAGAAUAAGAAGAGACAGAUGGACCUUGUAAAUCAUGUUGAGAUCUGUGAACAUUCGAAUUGAACACAGUGUUGUCUCCAUAUCAGAAAGCUCAAAGUCACUGAAGUAGAAGUCAGUCAGCUUGAGAGAUUGCGCAGAUGGCACAACAGCCGUCUUGGGAAAAAUAA